rnacentral:rRNA from 1 species
UAGGGAAUAUUGGGCAAUGGACGCAAGUCUGACCCAGCCAUGCCGCGUGGAGGAAGAAGGUUCUCUGAAUUGUAAACUUCUUUUAUAUAGGGAUAAACGAGUGUUAUAUGCACUUUUGAAGGUACUGUAUGAAUAAGCACCGGCUAACUCCGUGCCAGCAGCCGCGGUAAUACGGAGGGUGCAAGCGUUGUCCGGAUUUAUUGGGUUUAAAGGGUGCGUAGGCGGAUUUAUAAGUCAGUGGUGAAAUCUUGCGGCUCAACCGUAAAAUUGCCAUUGAUACUAUAGAUCUUGAGUAUAUUUGAGGUAUCUGGAAUGCGUAGUGUAGCGGUGAAAUGCAUAGAUAUUACGCAGAACGCCGAUUGCGAAGGCAGGAUACUAAGAUAUAACUGACGCUGAGGCACGAAAGCGUGGGGAGCGAACAGGAUUAGAUACCCCCGUAGUCC